rnacentral:rRNA from 1 species
UACAGAGGGGGCGAGCGUUGUUCGGAAUUACUGGGCGUAAAGGGCGCGUAGGCGGCCCGCUAAGUCGAACGUGAAAUCCCCAGGCUCAACCUGGGAACUGCGUCCGAUACUGGCAGGCUUGAAUCCGGGAGAGGGAUGUGGAAUUCCAGGUGUAGCGGUGAAAUGCGUAGAUAUCUGGGGGAACACCGGUGGCGAAGGCGGCAUCCUGGACCGGUAUUGACGCUGAGGCGCGAAAGCUAGGGGAGCAAACGGG